rnacentral:lncRNA from 1 species
AUGCUGUCCAAAUGCUCUUCACUCUUGUCUCUCCCAACCACUGCUGCUUCACUUUUCUCCCCCCCACACCACUGCUGCUUCACGCUUUGUCUCUCCCACACCAACUGCUGCUCACUCUUUGUCUUCCCCACACCAACUGCUGCUUCACUCUUUGUCUCUCCCCACACCAAACUGCUGCUUCACGCUUUGUCUCUCCCCACACCAACUGCUGCUUCACUCUUUGUCUCUCCCACACCAACUGCUGCUCACUCUUUGUCUCUCCCACACCACUGCUGCUUCACCUUUGUCUCUCCCCACACCAACGCUGCUUCACGCUUUGUCUCUCCCCACACCAACUGCUGCUUCACUCUUUGUCUCUCCCCACACCAACUGCUGCUUCACUCUUUGUCUC